CAGCCCCUGUCCUUGAAAAAAGCAAACCCUCCAAAACUUCACCGGAUUUUGAGCUCAAUCCAUCAAGUUUUCUACCUCAAAAACGUCACCAUGUCCCUAAAAUUAUUCUAGGGGAAUAUAGCCCCACCCAUGUCACCUUUUGUUCAAGAUAUUUUUUCUCCAUUUUUCUUAAUUUAUCUCUUCAAAGAUCAUCAAUUCAAAUUUUGGAUCCCCAAUUUUGUUGAGAUUAUCCCCCCUUCUUUGCUUUUCAAAUAUUCUUUAGGCGUCAACUUUUUGGUUAUAAAAGAAGCUUAAAUUGUAUGUACUUAAGGGGACAUGUAGUGAAAAAAAUUCCCCUGUGUUAAAGCUCUUCAAUUGUAAAAUAUCUAUGUUGUACAAGUUUUUCCCAAAGCAAACAAUCAUUUUCAAUCAUCGCCAUUAGAUGCAGAAGAAAAUUCAAGUUAUCAUCUUGAAGUUAUGGAGGCUGCAUUAAGGUAGAGGACCAUGAUUUCAUGGAGACUAGUUCUUUGAAGACCCUUAUAUCAAUAAUUAUUCUUAGAAGCUUUGCUUACCUUCUUCAGAAGCUUUUUCCCUAUAGAUCUAUUCUUGGUUCCAACAUUUGUUCUGGUGACUCAGGUUUGUAGAUUUUAUUACUUUUUAUUUAAUUCAAAGGAUAAUAACAUCUAAGAAUGCUCCGUCAUUAAUCUAUGUGAACAUUUAAGUCCUAAAUUGAUGUGAAAUAGGAGAGCUACUUCCUUUUAUAUGGUUCACAUUUAUUCAAGUGAUAGUUUUUUUAA